GACGUAGGGGGCCAGCGUUGUUCGGAAUUACUGGGUGUAAAGGGUUCGUAGGCGGUGCGGCAAGUUGGGAGUGAAAUCUCUGGGCUUAACCCAGAGGCUGCUUCCAAAACUGCUGUGCUUGAGUGUGGGGAGAGGCGCGUGGAAUUGCAGGUGUAGCGGUGAAAUGCGUAGAUAUCUGCAGGAACACCCGUGGCGAAAGCGGCGCGCUGGACCACUACUGACGCUGAGGAACGAAAGCUAGGGGAGCAAACAGG
rnacentral:rRNA from 1 species